GGAAGGUCCCCCCACAUUGGUACUGAGACACGGACCAAACUCCUACGGGAGGCAGCAGUGAGGAAUAUUGGUCAAUGGGCGUAAGCCUGAACCAGCCAAGUCGCGUGAGGGAUGAAGGUUCUAUGGAUCGUAAACCUCUUUUAUAAGGGAAUAAGGUGCGGGACGUGUCCCGUUUUGUAUGUACCUUAUGAAUAAGGAUCGGCUAACUCCGUGCCAGCAGCCGCGGUAAUACGGAGGAUUCGAGCGUUAUCCGGAUUUAUUGGGUUUAAAGGGUGCGUAGGCGGCCUUUUAAGUCAGCGGUGAAAGUCUGUGGCUCAACCAUAGAAUUGCCGUUGAAACUGGGGGGCUUGAGUAUGUUUGAGGCAGGCGGAAUGCGUGGUGUAGCGGUGAAAUGCUUAGAUAUCACGCAGAACCCCGAUUGCGAAGGCAGCCUGCCAAGCCAUGACUGACGCUGAUGCACGAAAGCGUGGGGAUCAAACAGGAUUAGAUACCCUGGUAGUCCACGCAGUAAACGAUGAUCACUAGCUGUUUGCGAUACAGUGUAAGCGGCACAGCGAAAGCGUUAAGUGAUCCACCUGGGGAGUACGCCGGCAACGGUGAAACUCAAAGGAAUUGACGGGGGCCCGCACAAGCGGAGGAACAUGUGGUUUAAUUCGAUGAUACGCGAGGAACCUUACCCGGGUUUGAACGCAUUCGGACCGAGGUGGAAACACCUUUUCUAGCAAUAGCCGUUUGCGAGGUGCUGCAUGGUUGUCGUCAGCUCGUGCCGUGAGGUGUCGGCUUAAGUGCCAUAACGAGCGCAACCCUUGCCACUAGUUACUAACAGGUGAUGCUGAGGACUCUGGUGGGACUGCCAGCGUAAGCUGCGAGGAAGGCGGGGAUGACGUCAAAUCAGCACGGCCCUUACAUCCGGGGCGACACACGUGUUACAAUGGCGUGGACAAAGGGAAGCCACCUGGCGACAGGGAGCGAAUCCCCAAACCACGUCUCAGUUCGGAUCGGAGUCUGCAACCCGACUCCGUGAAGCUGGAUUCGCUAGUAAUCGCGCAUCAGCCAUGGCGCGGUGAAUACGUUCCCGGGCCUUGUACACACCGAAGGGCGAAUUCCAGCACACUGGCGGCCGUUACUAG
rnacentral:rRNA from 1 species